rnacentral:rRNA from 1 species
GUAGGUGGCAAGCGUUGUCCGGAAUUAUUGGGCGUAAAGCGCGCGCAGGCGGUUCUUUAAGUCUGAUGUGAAAGCCCACGGCUCAACCGUGGAGGGUCAUUGGAAACUGGAGAACUUGAGUACAGAAGAGGAAAGCGGAAUUCCACGUGUAGCGGUGAAAUGCGUAGAGAUGUGGAGGAACACCAGUGGCGAAGGCGGCUUUCUGGUCUGUAACUGACGCUGAGGCGCGAAAGCGUGGGGGAGCAAACAGGAUUAGAUACCCUGGUAGUCCACGCCGUAAACGAUGAGCGCUAAGUGUUAGGGGGUUCCGCCCCUUAGUGCUGCAGCUAACGCAUUAAGCACUCCGCCUGGGAGUACGGCCGCAAGGCUG